GCUUUUGCGCCUCUUCCUCUUUGCCAUUUCGGUUCUUCUUCUUCUGCCGCUCUCCGCCUCAUCUAGUCAUCCUCCAGGCUUCAUUCCAUUACAGGAUCACCGACGUGGCGCCGCUGCUUCCUUGCUCCGCGCCUCCGCCAGUCGCAUGACCGCCAUUAUCUUCCACUGGGUAAUCUUCCACUGUACUUCUUUAUUUGUUCUUAAUUCAUCAGUUUCAAUGUUAUAUUCUCCAUGUCCAUGGGACAUUAGUACAUCACAAGGUUUAGUAAUCAGCUUUGGGAAUUGUUUUAGAAAAAAAGAUUUAACAAAAAAUAAAAUUAAUUGACAAUAAAAAAGAGAAAAGAAAACUAUGUUAUUUCGGUUAUAUGUAUGUAUUCCUUUUGUUUAUUUAUUUAUUUAUAAGUUAAUAAUAACAUGUGAAUAUUUUAGCCUUUUUGUUUAUGGUUGAAUUGAUAGUAACCUAAAAUAUUUGCAAAAUAUAAAAAUUGGUACAGAUAAUUCAAGGUAACACAAAAAAGAAAGCCAAAAAUGGAGGAGGAAAGAGAAAAUAUGGUCCAUAUGGAGAGCCAAUGAAUAUAAAAAUAGAGGAUGAGGUUAGGAAGGAACAGUGAGAAAACAUUCUGUCAAAAUGGACCUUGAUUUUGGGACAGGGGAGGAUUAUGAUUAUGUCCCUUCUUAUGUUUUGAUGUGUAUUUUUGUGCCUAUGCUGAAAUUGUAAUUUGUCUUCCAUCACUUGAUUCUUG
rnacentral:lncRNA from 1 species